GAAAACACGGCGUAAAACUAUUUCUUAAACACGAUAUAUCAUUGAGUAAGUUUGAAUUAUGAAUUUUCACCUUCAGAUCUGUUGAACUUAGGUUCUCUUUUAUGAAGCCGUUUGACUCGUGAUCCUUAGAGCAGUCGGAGGUUAUAGAAUUCUCCGGUGACACCAAAUUCUCAGUGAAGUUCACGUCAUGGUUUUCAAAGAGAUCGGAAUCGGAUUGAAGUUUUCUUCUCUUGCCGGAGCUUCCAUUCGUAAACUCCGCCUGCGCUUCUCCUUUCAUCACUCUCUCACUCUUGCAUUUCUUGAGGUCCUCUCCCAUCUCUCUAGACACACAUAUAGCGCGCGCGCUCUCUCUCUCUCUCUCACUCUCUAAUAUGCAUGUACGUAUUUAUAGCUGGCCUGGUGCUUUAUAUACAUGUAUUGGUGUGUAUAAUGUGAGCUCUGUAGGGUUUGAUUCAAACGCAACCGGCGAGGUUGAAGCCUCCUCUCUGACUUAAUUAACUCUAAAUGCGUUACAAUUCAAUAUUAUUUUAGAUAUUUUAUUAUUCAUUUUCCUUUUAUAUGACCAAAAUAAAAAAAUAUAAAAAAUUGUAGAACGUACCUCAUCGAAGAAACUUUGUCAAAUAUUGGUAGAUAGUACUAGACGAGACUGGACAAGACUUCGAACAAGAUUUUAGUUUCUUCGACUCUGUCUAAUAUUGUAUACUAAAUAUGCACUUUGUCAUUAUGUAUAUAUUUAUGAAAAUAAUGAAAAUCAUUCUUUAAAAGAAAAAAUCACCAAAACUAUAGGAAUUUGAUUUUCAUGGAAUUGGUCAAAAAUAUGCUUUAAAUGUUUGAAACUUGGAAUUCGAACUCCAUUUCCACUUUAAUAUUAAACAGCCAAAGUAGAAAAACGAAUUCCUAAGAUGUGAGAUUUUCCAUGAAAUUCGUUGCAAUCAAACGAACCCUAAAUUACGAACACAGAGAAGAAAAAAGUUGGGUUCAAUUCUUUGGCAUGUUAAUGAUGGUAAUAAAUUUUAUUAAUGAACGAGCAUAUUCAAAGUUUAAACGAAUUAAUGAAAAUUAAUAUUCUUUUAAUAAAUAAAAAGAAAGAUUCUAUACUUAUAGAAUUGCAUAUAACUAUAAGAAGAAAUUCACAUUAAUUGUUAUGAUGAAACUAAAAUUAGGGGAUCCUCCAUACAUCACGGAGAAUAUUUUUGGAAUUAUUUAAAUAUAUUCAGUAUAUAUAAUUUUCCCUAAAGGAGAAAUUUAGACUUAAAAUAACGAAAAUCAUUCUUUAAAUAAAACGAUUAUCUUCCAUUAAAUCAAAACUAUUUUUUUUCUCAAAAUCAUUUUCAACUGCAAAAUCACACAAUAUGGUCCAUCCGUUGAUAUUGUUAUAGCUAAACGUUAAUGCUGGAUUUGCCCCUGAUUAUAUUGUCGAGAUUCACUUCUCGAGUUUCAAUCAACUCAUCUAGAUCAAUUUCACGUAGCUCAAUAACGAUAUUUGACACUAAACUACAUUAUCUACACGUCUACUCUAAUAGACAAAGCACAUUAUUUUAUUUUUUGUACAUUUUUUAUUCUUUUUUUUGUUUUUGUUUUUGGCAUUGCUAUCCUUCAAAUUAUUGACUACAAUGACCGUAAUUAUACAAUUGUAAGUAAAAAUUCGCUCAUUUCAUCAAUAUUAACUAGUUUUAGGACUCAAUAAGCGCGUCGAAACACACUUAUCAAGUAUGUCUAGGGGUGGCAAUCGAGCCAAGCGGCUUGUUGGCUCCUGAAAAGACAACUUGAGAGUAGCUCGGGCUUGUAUUUGGACAAGCCCAAGCAUGAGCAGAGUGGGCCUGCUCGCUAGUUUAGCUCGCCGACCAUCCUAAUUUUCACGAGUGCUCACGGGCUCGUAAAAAAGGGGGAACAAAAGAGUAAAAAAAAAAUUUGAGCUCAUGGGCCGAGUUGAGCUUGGCCCUUGAGCACGAGCCGAGCAUAUGGGUGAAUGGGUGGCUCAGCCCAUUUCCAUCUCUAAGUAUUUCGUAAUUUUAGUUUUUAUAAUUAGCUUAACUUACUUUUCCACAAAAUGGAUAACAAUUUUAAGCAUAGCCAAACGUGUAACUAGUUAAAGGAGUAAAUAAUCCAUGCAAGAUACAACCAACAUAACUCUCAUUUAAAAAAGGGAAAAUUGCAGCAGCGGCCCCUAACCUUCUCAUUUUUGCAGAUUUUAUCCUAACAUUCAUUUUGUAUCAGGAGAGGUUCCUAACCUUUCACAAAUAUGCACCUGAGGUUCAUCUGAAAAAAUUAAGCAAUCAACAUCUAAUAAAACAGUCCAAAAAGGUAUCAACAUACACUAAAAUCGUCACGAUAGCAGAUAGUUCAAGAAAUUUUUUCGAUCAACUGACGGUCUUUUGUACGGUUUCCAUCCAGAUGGGCUUCAAGUACAUAUUCAUGAAAGGUUAGAAACAUUCGCUGGUACAAAAUAAAAAGUUAGGGUAAAAUCUGUAAAGAUGAAAAGGUUAGGGUCCGCUGCUGCAAUUUUCCUUUAAAAAAAUUGGGUUUUAUUAAUAUCAAUUUUCUAUUUAAUAAUUUUAACUAAGAAAAUUGCUUUUAGUAUAUGAAGGAAUUUAUAAUUUUUCCAAAGUAUUGUUUACCAUAUGUGGAAUAUAGAAUCCUAUAAAAAUAUAUAGUUUAACAAAAAUGUAAAAUCCCCAAUACUUAUACUCGUGCUUCAGUUUUGAAUUAAAAUGAACUUAUAAUAUUUAAGUUUACAAAAUAGACUACCUUUUUACCUUAAAUUGAAUUAAUUGAAAACAAGUUUUAUAUAAAACUCGAAGCUGCUAUCAAGUUAUAAUUGCACUCGAUAAAUCCAAUUUCAUCUUCUUUUUACUGGAAAACAUCAUAAUUUUCAAUUAAAAUCUAUAUCAGUAAAUAUAUUUUCUAUGCUUAUGAUUCUAAAUGUUGACCGUUUAUAGAUAAAAUAUUCCUAAGGCGAAUGCAGCGGAAACAAUGAUAUCUCAAACACAUAUGUUAUAACACUAAAUUAAGAAACUAACGAAGUGAUUACAACAUGUUUAUUGUGAAUUUAAAAAGUUCAAAUUGAAUGUUAUAGUUGAUGAGUAUCUUGUUGUUUCAAAUGUUUAUUAAAUUAAGCAAUAAAUCCUAUAUAUGUAUCUAAUUUGAAAUUCAUUAAAAAGAAGAACUUAAUGGCCAUUAGAACUUAUUAUUUAUCUAGUCGUGCAAGGAAUACAAGACAUAGAUAAGUACCUAGAUAAUUGUCUAAAUGUAUUGUCCUCUUAGCUAUCUCAAAAUCCCAUAAAUUAAUAAAAUUUGUGAUGAAUAUCUAGAUAGUUGUUUAAAUGUGUUAUCGUUUUAGCUUUUUCCAGACCUCACAUAAUAAAACAAUAAAGUUUGUGAUUAAGUAUCUAGAUAUUUAAAUGUCCUGUUUUCUUAGCUAUCUCCAGACCUCACGUAAUAAAACAAGAAAUUUUGUAAUUAGUACCUACAUAGUUAUCUAAAUAUACCGUCCUCUUAGUUGUCUCAAUACCCAACAUAAUAAAAGAACAAAUUUUAUGUAAUUAUUAUCAUACUUACUUUUCUCUAUAUUCAUAUAUAUAUUUUUAUAGUAUUUGUAAUUUAUAAAGAUGGAAAAACUUAGCAAAAUGUGAACAAGCACAUGUAAAUCAAUGAGUAGUUUUUUUGACACCCAAAAUGCAUGACAAUGUGUAUUUCUAUUUGAUUUUUCCACUGCCUAAAAUUAACCACAUUUGGUUAGAUAGCCUUAUGGACCAUAUUCAUGAGGUCUGAACCACACCGUGUAGUGGACGGUUGUGCCAACUUUUUCUCUUGAGCAGAACUGCCUUAGGCUAAGCUUGAAAAUUUUACAAUAGUUAUGUUGUGAACAUUCAGUUUAAAUCAACUCGUUUAGAUCAAUUCCAUGUAAUCUGGGCAAAUCUAGAGCUGAGGUCCAACCCACCAACUCCACUCCCCCCUCAAACAUAAAAAAUAAAAUAAAAAUGCCAUCGAUUUUAUCAAGCUAGUUUGUAGGUCAAUUUCGAAAUUCCCAAAUAUUAGAAAAGGUUCUUGACAUAUUUCCUGAGUGGUCACGGUAUAUUUCGUAACUCACAUUUCAAUUAGUAAAAUUGUUAAAUGAUUAGGUCGCAAUAGUGAGUUAAAAAUGGUCGCAUGAAAUAAGUUUAAUAAAUCUAAUUCGUGAUCGUUGCCUUUUUUAGCUUAUUUUUGGACUACAUUUCUCUAAUGUAAGGGUAGAUUCUCGGAGAACUUGCGAACAACUAUACGACCCAUAUUUCAAAAUGGAAAACUGUUAAACGGUGGACUUAAAAUAGCUAGAAAAACAUGUCUACGUAUAAUGGAUUUAAUAAUUUCUUUAAGCUAACGUAUUGUAUUAAUUAUUAAAAUUUAAGGAUAGGGCUUAGUGUGUUCCCAUUUUAGUCUUUUCGUUUAAUCUGUACUGUCAAAGUUGUCUGUAAAAAAUUUGCAAGACCCUUGUUGAUUAAUCGUGAUCUAGUUACAAACCACAUUAUUUACAUGUGUAAGUUAUUAAUUAGACCAAACAGAACUAUUAUAUGUACAAUCAAUUCACUUGGCUCAUGUUAUCUAAUACUAAAACACAUUAUCUACACGUAUAAGUUUUUAGAAAAAAGAGAAUCAUUAUAUGUUCAAGACGCCAUAAACAUGCGGAUCAUAUUUAUUUUCUUUAUCCAAAAAUCUUACACGUGGUUAUAUCAUAAAUGGGUCACACGAGUCGAAAUUCAACUCGUCAUAUACCCAUAUGAAAUACUUAUUUUUAACUUGUUCUUCGAUAUGAAACAUUUGGGGGUGUGACACUAAUUAUGCCGUUGAGAUUCACUUCUCGAGUUUCAAUCAACUCAUCUAGAUCAAUUUCACGUAGCUCCAUAACGAUAUUUGACACUAAACUACAAUACCUACACGUCUAUAAUAGACAAAGCACAUUACUUUAUGUUCAAUAUGUCAUGCACAUGUGAUCAUAUUUAUUUUUUAUAAACCUUACAGAUCGAUUUUCCAUAAUUCGGUAAAACUAACUCACCAUCUCUCCAUCCUAUGAUGCCUUUGUUAAACCACGGGAAAUAGAAAUUAUUUAGUUUUAUUUUAUCCCAACAAUGUACAUACAUAUGACAUAUAUGAUAUAUUCACACGUUUUCCACCCCCAUAUGCUUCAUGCUAGCUAAAAGGUUCUUCCACUGGUUUCCUCCCAAAUCCAUUAUCCAAUAAAUGCAAAAAGUGGCUAUAAAACUUACUCAAAACUUUCAUCCAUCCAGAAAUAAGCUAAUAAGCCCAAACAAAACACCCUUUUCAAUUUCAAAAGCAAAACACACAUAAGAAUUCAAAUCCUUCAUUGUACUAUAGAAGAAGCACACAAAUUUGAAAAUACCAUUCACAAAUCCAGAUAGAAAGUGCCCAAAAAGUACUACUGCAACUACUUUCAUCUGAACAAAUCAUUGAGACUUCUAUCUAUCCCAUGAGAACAUAAAUAAGGAAAUUGCUAUACAUUGAGCCAGCUAGCUAAUUGUUUAUGAUAAUAAUUAAUAUAAAAUGAGAAGAUGCCUUUUUGCUUCAUUUGGUAUUCACUUUCAUUCAUGGAUUCAAACGAACCCAUUGGUACUUGCCUUCCAUAGGAACGUCCUUCACUAUAUCAUAGUUGUACCUGAAAAUAACGCAAAACCAAUCAAUCAAAUCAUAAUUAUUACUCUGUUUCCAUUUUAAGUAACGUGAAGAGUGGCUCAUGAAUGCUAAAUUGAGCGUUUUGGGGGUGAUGAUACUUAUCAUGCGCACACACACCACAGAAACGUAAUUAUUUGUAUUUUCAAUUUUGUACUCACUUUUCAGCAAAUCGUUUUUGCUGCAACUUUUCUGCUGCUUCAAAGAACUCUUCCAGCUCCGCCUCUGAUGGCAUUUUUUCCUCCGCCACUGAAAUUAUCCGGCGAGUAUUUGCCGGUGGUGGUGGCGUUUUCUCUGAUUGGGACGAAUACUCGAUUUCUGAUUCUUCCGACUCCAUUUCUGAUUCUUCGGAGUCUCCGUAAAGCUCUUUUGUUGGCGUCGUUUUUCUACUAAAAUAAAAUAAGAUAAUAAAAAAUAAUAAUAAAAUCGAAGAUACAUGCGCGCGCGCACACAUAUAUCAGGUUCAGAAAAUGAAACGGUGAAAUGUAAAUUAAAUUAAUUUAAAAGAGUUAAUGAAUAUAAUUUAAUUUCAUUAAUUUACCUGGAAACGUUGUUGAUGGAUAUGGAAAUUUCAGUUUCAAAUUCCACGGACUGAAAUAAAAAUUAAAUUCAUAAGAAAAUAACUAGCAAAUAAAGCUUGAAAAAGAAAACACGGCGUAAAACUAUUUCGUAAACACGCAUAUCAUAGAGUAAGUUUGAAUUAUGAAUUUUCACCUUCAGAUCUGUUGAACUUAGGCUCUCUUUUAUGAAGCCGUUUGACUCGUGAUCCUUAGAGCAGUCGGAGGUUAUAGAAUCCUCCGGUGAAACCAAAUUCUCAGUGAAGUUCACGUCAUGGUUUUCAAAGCGAACGGAAUCGGAUUGAAGUUUUCUUCUCUUGCCGGAGCUUCCAUUCGUAAACUCCGCUUGCGCUUCUGCUUUCAUCACUCUCUCAC
rnacentral:lncRNA from 1 species